CUUAAUAACAAAUUAGCACUCUACCUCUCAUACUAGUUGGUCUCUUUACUAUCCCAUUUCAACCUUUUUUUUCCAUUUCCACUGUUCUUGAGCAGACCGAUGGUUCCAGAAAACCUAUGCUCGAGGCAUCUCUGAUAAUCUCCUUGCCCACAUCACCCUUUAGUUCCAUUUCCCCAUCAAUACAGUCAGAGAGCCUUCACCCUUUGUAUUCCAUUUCUCUAUUUUAUAGACCUUCUGAUGCAACUUCUACUUCUUAUAAACACCGAUGGUCCCUUGAAUGGAUCUGGAUUUUGCUUCUUAUUUUGAUCACCGGAAAAUCACCCUUACCACAGUAUUCUACCCGAUUCCUGUUCUUACUCGACAAUCAUCCGUUGCAGCCCAUAGCACUGCUGCAGAUAACCCGUUACACAUAUAAGUGCUCGUUCAUUCAUUUAAGCCCUCUGUCGCAAGGAACACAAUUCCUUAUGUUGUAGGCUAUAAAAGCAGCAUCAAAGUUCACCUUGACAUGCGAGGUCUCCGGUGGUCUCCAACGCUCAGUUUCAAUCUUUUGGAUAGGAACAAGAUCGAAUCUUUAAACAGUGCAUCGCUCUGCUCUUGUGGCCAUUCAACCUGUAGAUUUGCCCAAAUUUCUGAUGCAGCAGGGCAGUCUCUAAAAGCAUGCACCAAACUCUCUACCCCUUCUUGGCAUUUUGGACAGUUUGCUGAACUCACCAACCGUCGUUGAUAUAGAUUACCCAUAGUUGGUAAUUAGUUAUGUAAAGAUUUCUAUACCAUAAUCUUAAUUUUUGAGGGUAGAUCAAGCAGCCAUAAUUUCUUGUAUAUUUGUCUGUAAUUAUUCUCGUCGAUUUGUAAAUUUGUUCUGUCGCUCUGUAAAAAUAUUUUGUAACUA